UAAAAUUUGGUCAAUUUUGUUUGACAUUUGAUGAACAUUUUUACCGUGGGUUCAGAAAACUGAUAUUGCCUCCUUCAGCACUUUGGACUUUUGGUCGCUUCAGACAAUUUAUCUUUAUAGAAAGGUAUAUUUCCCAACGUCCAUUUGCCAAAUAAGCAUUUGGAAGAGUUGAAAACGUAUAAAUCCCGAUUUAAUCUGAAGAAAACAUGACGUAACAUUUCGUGUCAAAUAUGUUACAUCUUGAAUCGCUUGGUUUUUUGACAACAACAGACAUGUAUAAUUCACUUUAGUGACCUGUUUUUAAUUUUACCGAGGUCAGGUGUUCAUUUGAUGAAAACAAUAGUUCCCAUAAAUACAUACAAAACGUGUAUUGAUCGACCGAAAUAUUUCGCCUAAAGUCUUGUCUCAAAUGUUACGUCACAAAUUAUUCAGAUUUUGUUCAUGUACACAGCCCUUUGUGUAUUUCGACAAACUUUAACUGUGUGGCAUAUAGCUAAUACCGCAACAGAAAAGUAGCACCGAACGCGUGCAUUGAUACUGUGUAGUAUAUCCGAUUUACAGUCAAAACGUCCCCAGGUCAAAACGUCCUAUGGUCAAAACGUCCCCAUUUUGGUCAAAACAUCCCCAGUGCCUAGUCAAAACAUCCCCAAGAACGUCAUUGUUGGUUUGGACAGCUUGUCCGAAGACGCACCACUCCAAGAUGGCGGAACAAGCAAAGCAUGGGUAAGUGUUGUCGUGGAAGUUAAGUCCUAACAGAUUCGAGGUGGGCUUAUUUUAUUCAGUUUCAUGACAUUAAUUGAUGCAUCUUGUAUAUUUCGCCUGUACGGGUGCACAAACUAAUAAUUUGUCUCAAUUGCCUUGAGGUUUAAAACAUUCAAAUUCACGCGCGUUCAGUUCAGAUGUGUUGUAAAGAUCGAUCUGAAGCUGGUAUUUUGGUGUCUUAUGUACGUCUACGAAGUAUUUUGGUGUCUUAUGUUACGUCUAUAAAGUCAUUGUGUUUACAUCGGUACACGCUGUAUUUUAAGCAGUCAUAAUUCGCAAUUUUGCAUUUAUAAACUGAGUAAAUUUUAAUUAGAUAAUUGGGAAUUUCUUAAAAAAUGCCUGUUGUCACACAGCUCUUAUUACAAGAAUACGUAACGGCGACACCAUUCAUUACCGGUUUUGACAUUUGCGUAAAAGAGUCCCAUGUUACUUCCAAAUAAUUUUGAAAAGCAUUUUAAGUCUCUAGUGCUAGUAAGAAAGAAUGUAUAAACAUGUUAUGUACCUGUGUUACGCAAUAAUCAAGAGGUUUCCGGACAAUUCGGCACCAAACGAAUUCGGCAUACAUACCUUUUCGGCACUAAGUUAAUUCGGCACCGCCAAUUCGGCACCAUCCGACCGGAUAAUUCGGCACCGUUUUAUUUUAUUUUUUGCUCAUGUAUUUAAGCAAUAAGGGUUGACAGGUUUUUUCAAAAAAAAAAUAUUCCCCGAAAUAUUUUUAGAGCUACUUUAUUUUUUAGUUUGUUUUCAAUUCUUAUAUCUGUAUUCAUUGUCAUAGAUAUACCGUACCGUAUUCUAAAUUUUAAGUCCUUGUACACAUAUUUUAAAAGCAUUUGAAUUUUUGUAAAUAUACUGAAUUCAAAAGGAAUGAACGAGAUAAUAAACAAUAUAUGUGACAUAAAAAAAUGUUAACAUUAAAACUUUAUGCUGAAACUUUCAUUGUUAAAAAAAACAAUAAUAAGAAACAUAUGAAAGUAUUUUGCAAAAAUAAAAUAAAGAUGCUAUGGUAUAAUACCCAAUUUAAUGUGAUUCUUAUAAAAAUGAACUCGUAAAAGUUGAUUUUAAACAUAAAUUAAUUUACACGGAAAGGAAUAUAAUUAGUAUUUAAACUUAAAUCAUUUUAUUGGAAAAUUGCUUUCUUAUUCCGUAUGCAUAAAAUACUUAAAUCGAAUAUCUUCAUAAACUACUAAAACAUAAUGAAAAUAAACAGACGACUUUAAAUUUAUUACAGAGUAAUUUGUUGUGUGAUGAGAUUAUUAUCUGUAGAAACACAUGUCACAGUGUGUCGGCAUGUGUCUCGUUAAUCAACCCUAUCCGUUCAACCCCUGGUGUGAAAAUUAAUAAUAAUCUUUAACGUACCAUUGUUUAUUGAUAACCAUAUGGUUUAAUUGAGUACACGGGGGUCGCGUGGCAACUUUCUGAAUAAUAUUUGUGCGCGUAUAUAUUCAGUCAGACUGAUUUUCAGAUAUAGUUGUAGAAUUUUUCUAUUUAACUGUUAAACGUUCCGAUUAGCUGUUGGAAAACUGUAUUGGAUUAAACAAUGAUCGACGAUUUGUGCAUAAAGUGUCGCCGUCUUGUGAGGCCUAGGCAAAAGGGAAGGACAUGUAUAUCAUGUGAAAAAAACAACAUGAACAGUGCCUUGAAGGUAAAAUCUUUCUUUUUAUAUGUAAAAUGAAAGUUAUUUGUUUUUAAUUAUUAUAUUGUUGCAUAAAAACUUCUAAUGGGUAAUUUGUUAGUAUAAUAAGUGAUUGUUUAGUUAACGUACUUGUUAUUCAUGUGUUUUCUUUUCUGCAUACACAUAUGUUAUACUAUAAAGAAAUACAUAAAAUAAUGUUUUAUCUGCCUUAAACUACAGAUGAAGCUGAGACAUGUUCUUUUGUGUGCGGGUCAUGCGUAGAAAAUAUUCCGGAAAGGGGAUCGUGUAUUAAUGCCGACGAUAUCAUUGACGAACCGCCUCUUUUGGAAAUUAGUGCUCCAGUUGAACAACUGUCAUCAGUCGAUGAAGAAAUCUUCAAUGAACCACCAGUUUUAGAACGAAGCGUUCCGCUUUCCAUAUAUGGUGCCGAGACUAUGGUCGACUAUUUGAGUGAAAGCGGACAGAAUCAAGCUGGGGAUUUUAGCUUAAAUAUUUCCGGGUUAACUUCAGCAGAAACGAGCGUUCUUCAUUCAACUAUAACAGAGUUGAGUGACGCAGAUGCAGCGAGAGUCACUUUCAAUCUUGGCACCAAUUUCGGAAUGGAGAGAGAAACAAGAGAAAGUAACGAAUCUACCUCCUCUAUACAAAGUCAGACCCACCAACACCAACUAAGUGUUAAUAUGUCAAGGGUAAGUAUUUCAGGUGUGGCUGACCAGAACUGGACCUUUGACGUUACCAGAGAUGAACAACUGUUGGAUGCAACAGUUAUAUUUGAAAGGUAACGCUUUUUUAGAUGAUGAAUAUACAAAGGAAUAACAUAUUUUAACAAUAAGAAGAUACAUAUUAAAAUUAAAGAAAAUGGUACUCAUCGCUGAUUGUUUAUAGAAACAAUCGCAACACUUAACGCAACGUGACAGUAUAUAUAAUUGAAUAAAAUGUAUGUAUUAUAAUAUACGUGACAUUUUUAUUAUACAAUUUACAUGGUAGGUCUCUGGAUGGAAGUGCCAUAACCGACACAGUCCUUCAAGAUCCAAUGGAGGUUCGGUUCGAAGUCUUGGAGAACGGCACAGAGCGGGGAGGAAAAAAAUUCGUGUCUUCAGACAGUUUCUCCUACACUCAGAAGUCACGGAUGCGAGUUAUUGGAUGGACCCGGCAAUGGCGCUGCAGCGUCCGGGGCAAGACACCAUGCACGGCCACGGUGAAUAAGAAGGAGGGUAUCUUUAAACGCGGGAUCAACGACCACAACCACGCUUCUGAUGGUAACAUAGGCAAAAAGCUUAAAGUUAAAGCUGAGGUAAUCACGAUGCAAUAUACUAUAAGGGAUAUUAUUUGCUUUACACUUACUUGUAUUGUCAAUUGUAUAUGAUAGUAUUCGAUCUUUAUUCUAAAUGAAUAUAUUAGUACUGCAUCUUGGAUUGUUUACUCAAGGUUAAACAGGCAGCUCUACAAGACAUACACCGUCCGGCAUCUACUAUUGUCGACCAGAAGAUGUCUGAGCAAUUUAACAUACGGGAUUUCAACUUACCUAACAUGGAGAAUUUACUGCGGAUGGCGAAUCGGGCACGAGCGGAUCAAAGACCACGAGAACCGACUACGCAGACUUCGAGAUAAACAAAGAGUUCAUUGACGAGAGCUUCCUAGGGGACAUUAGCCACGACGGCCAGCGGCACCUGCUUUUUGCUGCACGUGACCAACACGGUGUUCUUAGGCGUGCACGACGCUGGUACUUGGAUGGGACUUUUAAAGUGAGGAAGGAACCCUUUCAGCAGUUGUUUGCCGUUCAUGCGUUCGUGAGGUCCGGAGUUAACAAAAAGCAGGUGCCUCUCGUGUUCGUGUUGAUGACAAGAAGACGCAAAGAAGACUAUAUUGCGGUGUUGGAGAAGUUACUUGGAAGUAAUCGACUACCAAGUAGAUGUAGAGGGAUGCAUGAUGGACUUUGAAGUUGGUACGCAAUGGACUUUGGGCAGCACUCCGCCAUGUAUUCCCGCGGGCCUCAAUGAAGGGU